AGAACGAACGCUGGCGGCAUGCCUAACACAUGCAAGUCGAACGAGACCUUCGGGUCUAGUGGCGCACGGGUGCGUAACGCGUGGGAAUCUGCCCAAAGGUUCGGAAUAACUCAGGGAAACUUGAGCUAAUACCGGAUGAUGUCGCAAGACCAAAGAUUUAUCGCCUUUGGAUGAGCCCGCGUAGGAUUAGCUUGUUGGUGGGGUAAAGGCUCACCAAGGCUACGAUCCUUAGCUGGUCUGAGAGGAUGAUCAGCCACACUGGGACUGAGACACGGCCCAGACUCCUACGGGAGGCAGCAGUGGGGAAUAUUGGACAAUGGGCGAAAGCCUGAUCCAGCAAUGCCGCGUGAGUGAUGAAGGCCCUAGGGUUGUAAAGCUCUUUACCCGGGAAGAUAAUGACUGUACCGGGAGAAUAAGCCCCGGCUAACUCCGCGCCAGCAGCCGC
rnacentral:rRNA from 1 species